rnacentral:lncRNA from 1 species
GAUGAUGUGGCCUCUGCUCCUACCCCUCCUCGCCGCCGCGGCCAGCGCCAAGAUCACGCCGCCGCCGCCGCCUGCCCCGUCGCCAACGACGCCGUGGCCGGAGCAGUUCCACGCGGUGGUGAUCACCAACCUGACGUCAAAAAGCGGCAGGCUGCAGGUGAUCGACAGCUACUACGACUGGCCGCGGGGGCGCUCCGUGAACGUCAUCCGCGACCAGCUCUCCGCCGCCGGCGAGCCGCCGCUCCGGAACGUCGAGUGGGCCAACGGCACCUCCUUCCUCUUCGACGCCGCGUCCUGCUGGACCUUCCACUUCGCCGUGGGCCUCCUGCCGCCCGACUGGAAGAAGGCCCGCGGCGCCGCCUACCUGGGCCGCGGCCGCCUCGACGGCUUCGACUGCCACGUCUGGUCCAACUUCCUCUUCGCACGCUACUACGAGGACGUCGCCACCGGCCGCCCCGUCGGAUGGAACUUCAACGGUCGGUGUUCAACUACUUACGACCUGCAAAUCCCCGUCUUGAAUUAGUUUCCUGAUUAUUCUGCCUAGAAUUAUUCUAAAUUCUCUCCGUUCUGCGGAUGGUCAGUACGAAUGAAUCAGCUUGAUGAAGCUAGCAGAACAAGUUUAUGAUGAUUGCUUCAUGUGAUCUUUGUUUUCCAGGGAUGGAGCGGCAUGUGCUGAGCUUUGAGGCAGGGGCAGUGCUGCCGGACUCCGGCAAGUGGCAGGCGCCGGCUUACUGCUUCAAUGGCAGCAACGCCGACGCCCCUGCUCCUUCUCCGGUUGAUCAGCUGAUUCGCCGGGGCUCCAGCUGCAGCUAAAGGUCCUCCACAGUGUGUUGCCAGAGUGAUGCCCAAAGAGAAGAGAAAAGAUUUGGGCAUCACUCCUACCACUGCAGGAGGUGAUGCUAAUUUUCAGUGAUGCUGAGAAAAUUGAGAGCGAGACAUCUAAGUAUAUACAAAAGGACUUAUUUGUCAAAAUAUGAAAGAACCAACCUUUUAAGUAUUAUUUUGGUGAAGCCAAUGUUUCGAUCGAGUGGCAAAUUGUCGAAACUACAUGUAUGGUAAAUAUGUGAUGGCAAUUUAAAUAGCAAACCAUUAGUCUUGAAUCAACCCUUUUGAGAAACCUUUUCAUUCUUAUCUACAAAUAUAUAGCACAUCAAGCUUCUAUUUUAUAAACAACAUGCUAUAAAGCAAAAUAAUUUCUUGUUAGAAUUCAUUUUUUAAAUUACUGAUAUAGAUAUUUAUCAAUGUGAUGAAAAGAACAAAUUUCUUGAAUCAUUAUCAUAUUAACACAUAGUUUAAUUUUGAUCACAUUCUAAAAUAAUAAUAGAGUGAAUAAUUAGAAGAGUACUCUGAGGCUAUGCUUGGAAGAUGGUGGACCUUGCACUUGAGAAAUUUGCUCUAUUGACAUCCCUAACAUGUGGUUUCGCACAUUUGACACCUAAAACAUAAGGUUGCUUGAUUUGCUGACAUUUCCACCUUUUUAUAUCGGUUCCCUUUUCUUUUUGCCGUGUUGGGCAUCUGAAAUGACCAUCUUAGCCCCUGAACGAUGCACCGCCUUCCUUUUGCUCCAGUUGAACAGUAUUUCAUAACAUGUUUUCACAUGAACUUUGCAGCCACACCAAGUGACAUGCCACAAUAUAUUUUUGCACAAAUAUUACUAUGUUAGAGCAACACAAAAUGGCACCGGUUCAUAGCCAUAUACAUCCAGUUACGGUUCACGCAAUAAGUUUAUAUAUAUAUAGUUCAUGUUCACGUAUCUCAACCAAAUAGGUUGAAUAGUUCACACAUGUAGUUCAUAAAUAAAUCUUAGCAGUAACUGCACCUGAGCCAAAAUAAGUUCAGUCAGUAUACAUGCGUCAUAUGUCAUUUGAUAGGCUAAGGAGAUAAACACAGGCAAGGGCACAUAUGUCAUUUGAUAGGUCAAAAUGUAAAAAAAAAAGAAAAUAGAUUAAAAAGAGAAGAAUGUCACAAAAUCAAGUGGAAUAUGCGAAGCCUCGUUAUUUAGAGUCUCAAUGCAGCUAAUUUCUCCUUACUUAUUCCCUAGGGGGCUGUUUGGAUACGAGAUGCUAAAACUUUAGGAGGGUUACAUCGAAUGUUCGGACGUUAAUUAGGAGGACUAAACAUGAGCUAAUUAUAAAACUAACUGCAGAACCCCUAUGCUAAUUCGCGAGACGAAUCUAUUAAGCCUAAUUAAUCCAUCAUUAGCAAAUGGGUUACUGUAGCACCACAUUGUCAAAUCAUGAACUAAUUAGGCUUAAUAGAUUCGUCUCGCAAAUUAGACUCCAUCUGUACAAUUAGUUUUUUUUAUAAUUAAACUAUAUUUAAUACUCCUAUUCAAACAUCUGAUGUGACAGAAUGUACCUGAACACCUCUACAACUCCCAGAUCUAUUUUACAACUUUGCCACAUGNNNNNNNNNNNNNNNNNNNNNNNNNNNNNNNNNNNNNNNNNNNNNNNNNNNNNNNNNNNNNNNNNNNNNNNNNNNNNNNNNNNNNNNNNNNNNNNNNNNNNNNNCGCAACAGCCGCCGAUGUUGCCGCCGCCGCCGCCGCCGCCGCCGCCCCUUAUGCUUCUCCCGCUCCUCCUUGCCGCCAGCUCCUUCGCCGCGGCCAAUGCCAAGGCUACACCCCCGUCUGCCACCGCGGCGGCAGGCGCCCGCGCCGGCUCCCCUGCCCCGGUUCCGACGCCGUGGCCGGAGCAGUUCCACGCGGUGAUUUUCACGAACCUCACCGAGAGCGGCGGCCGGCUGCAGCUGAUAGACAUCUACUACGACUGGCCCAAGGGCCGCAACCUCAACCUCAUCCACAACCAGCUCUCCGGCGACCCGACCUACAACGUCGAGUGGGCCAACGGCACCUCCUACCUCUUCGACGCCGCGUCCUGCUGGACCUUCCACUUCGCCGUGGGCCUCCUGCCGCCCGACUGGAUGAAGGCCCGCGGCGCCGCCUACCUGGGCCGCGGCCGCCUCGACGGCUUCGACUGCCACGUCUGGUCCAACUUCCUCUUCGCACGCUACUACGAGGACGCCGCCACCGGCCGCCCCGUCGGAUGGAACUUCAACGGUCGGUGUUCAACUAAUUACGACCUGCAAAUCCCCGUCUUGAAUUAGUUUCUUGAUUAUUCUGCCUAGAAUUAUUCUAAAUUCUCUCCGUUCUGCGGAUGGUCAGUACGAAUGAAUCAGCUUGAUGAAGCUAGCAGAACAAGUUUAUGAUGAUUGCUUCAUGUGAUCUUUGUUUUCCAGGGAUGUUGCGGCAUGUGCUGAGCUUUGAGGCAGGGGCAGUGCUGUCGGACUCCGGCAAGUGGCAGGCGCCGGCUUACUGCUUCAAUGGCAGCAACGCCGACGCCCCUGCUCCUUCUCCGGUUGAUCAGCUGAUUCGCCGGGGCUCCGGCAGCAGCUAAAGGUCCUCCACAGUGUGUUGCCAGAGUGAUGCAAAAUACUAUUUUCCAUACCAUUCAAUAGGAAAUCUGGCACCCCCACUCCCUUUGGCAGCAUCUACUAAUUUGGAACUUAAUUUGAAAGCGAUAUUUCGACCCGGACACUUUUGGAUGCUUCUAAUAACCAACGAAUAGCAAGUGCUCUUCCUUGUUUAGAUCCUAUUUCAAUCGGAACUUUCCGCGUCGAUCCUUUUUUAUUACGUCUUGUUUUUACUCCUAUAUUGGGAGUUACUCUACGUAUUGCUUGACGUAAAACCAAUAGUGGAUUUGUUUCUGUCUUUUGUUGAAUCUUUUUCACAGGCUCGAUAGAGAAGUUGAUAAGCCAAUGAUUUUUUUCCGUCUUUCAUAAUACGGUUAACCACCAUGUUAACUAAUCGAUUACGAAAAAUUGGAUCGGGUUUUGCGGUUCUUUUUUCUGCAGUACCUCGACGUGACAUGAACCUAUUGGGAAUUAGUCCUACACUUGUCCUAUCAUACCUUCUUCGUGUAUACGAAGUAGUAGACUUGACUAACUCAAUUCUUAGGAAAUCGCGAAUCAGAUCAUUUGUUCUUACCUCAACAAGAGCUCUGUUGCCAAAGAAUAAGUAGUUGAUAGCAAAAAACAGUUCAAGGCAGAAGUCUCUUGAGAAUGCAAAAGGCCUGCAAACCUAGUUCACACGAGUGGAUUCUUUCACAGCUCGUGCACCGAUUUUAUCCAGAUUUUGACUCUUUUCUUUGCCAGGUUAGUUGAUCAAUGCGAAUUGUCAAGGUAAGUUGUUGAUCAAAUCCAAAUUGACCAUGCAACGCACCACUAACUUUCCCAAAUGGGUCAACGAAAAGUGCCACCCAAUGUUCUAGUACGAGUACAUCCAGUUCCGGGUGGUCAUCUAGUAUGGGACCUAAGAGAAACCCUUUUUGAAUCCUUUUAUUAAGCCAUUGCUAAUCCCGUAAGGCAAUCCUUCAACGUUGUAGAAAAGAGUUCAAUACAAAAGCAUAGAAAUUAUGUACGCCAAUAACAAAUACGAAUACGAAUUACGCCUACGAGCCUACGCAUUGGCAUGUUUCUUAGUAUAAAGCUAAGAACGAGAAUAGCCUACUGCCUCCACUCGGAAAAGGUAUCUGGUUCCUUUCAUCCAAAGAAAAUAAGGAUACGCAGAUCGAUGCAAAUCACAGCUAAGGGAAUCUUUUCCUAUAACUGCUAACGGCGGACCGUGUCUUUUAGCCCUCACUAGAUGACAACUUGCUUACUUUUUCACUUCUUCUUAAGCUUGGCAGACUAGUUCCUGACUGACUUGAUAGUGCGAUGAGCUUACUUGCUCUAGUUCCGUCUUUCCUCGCUAGGACGACGAAUUCACUCUAUCUGAAGAUCUGAGAAAGGCGCUGAUUACAGCUCUGUCCUUGGAUGGACCAUAGGCCUGAUGCUAGGAGAGUGUAGUUCGAGCAUUCUAUUGUGUGUUCGUGAUACGCAAAGCAAUCUCCUGUUUACUAAUGAUCUAAUGACAGUUGAUUGAGACUUGCCAUUGUCGUCUUUCGAAAGCGAACUCUUAUCUGGUUUCACUCGGGGUCUCCUGUCGACGGGAAGUGCUCGGUUCGGAUAACUUCUGUUUCCGUACCGGGAUCAGCAGGAGGGGAAUUUGAGGUUCUUGGUCCUCUGCGAAAUCAGUCCGCCAACUUGCUCUUUUCGUGCAUGACAGGUGCUCAUUCUUACGAAUGGUGGUGUGGCACAGCCCUUUACAUUUUCAAAAAAGCAGGAGCAACUUUCCACCUCGACUCCUUCCUUCCCCUCAUUCUAAGCCCGGCCACCUUUUCUUGUUUCAGUAGUUCUCCCCGCGAGCUCCUCCUGCAACUCCUCGAGAUCUAUUUUACAACUUUGCCCCAUGCCUGGACCAGUGGGCCCUCAAAUCAUGAACUAAUUAGGCUUAAUAGAUUCGUCUCGCGAAUUAGACUUCAUCUGUACAAUUAGUUUUUUAAUUAGACUAUAUUUAAUACUUCUAAUUAGUAUUUGAACAUACGAUGUGACAAGAAUUUAUCCGAACACCUCCUCGAGAUCUAUUUUACAACUUUACCGGACCAGUGGGCCCCACGGCUUUCUCCACCACUCGGUCACUUCAGCUUCGACUGGUCAGUAGCACUCGCCAAGCGAUAAGCUCGGGGCAAGCCGCAACAGCCGCCGAUGUUGCCGCCGCCGCCGCCGCCGCCGCCGCCCCUUAUGCUUCUCCCGCUCCUCCUUGCCGCCAGCUCCUUCGCCGCGGCCAAUGCCAAGGCUACACCCCCGUCUGCCACCGCGGCGGCAGGCGCCCGCGCCGGCUCCCCUGCCCCGGUUCCGACGCCGUGGCCGGAGCAGUUCCACGCGGUGAUUUUCACGAACCUCACCGAGAGCGGCGGCCGGCUGCAGCUGAUAGACAUCUACUACGACUGGCCCAAGGGCCGCAACCUCAACCUCAUCCACAACCAGCUCUCCGGCGACCCGACCUACAACGUCGAGUGGGCCAACGGCACCUCCUACCUCUUCGACGCCGCGUCCUGCUGGACCUUCCACUUCGCCGUGGGCCUCCUGCCGCCCGACUGGAUGAAGGCCCGCGGCGCCGCCUACCUGGGCCGCGGCCGCCUCGACGGCUUCGACUGCCACGUCUGGUCCAACUUCCUCUUCGCACGCUACUACGAGGACGCCGCCACCGGCCGCCCCGUCGGAUGGAACUUCAACGGUCGGUGUUCAACUAAUUACGACCUGCAAAUCCCCGUCUUGAAUUAGUUUCUUGAUUAUUCUGCCUAGAAUUAUUCUAAAUUCUCUCCGUUCUGCGGAUG